GAUGAACGCUAGCGGCAGGCUUAAUACAUGCAAGUCGAGGGGCAGCAGCUUUAUAGCAAUAUAGAGGCUGGCGACCGGCAAACGGGUGCGGAACACGUACACAACCUUCCUUUAAGAGGGGGAUAGCCCAUAGAAAUGUGGAUUAAUACCCCGUAACAUAUCGGUGUGGCAUCACACUGUUAUUAUAGUUUCGACGCUUGAAGAUGGGUGUGCGGCUGAUUAGGUAGUUGGCGGGGUAAAGGCCCACCAAGCCUUCGAUCAGUAGCUGAUGUGAGAGCAUGAUAAGGCAAACGGGCACUGAGACACGGGCCCGACUCCUACGGGAGGCAGCAGUAAGGAAUAUUGGUCAAUGGACGCAAGUCUGAACCAGCCAUGCAGCGUGAAGGAUGAAGGUCCUCUGGAUUGUAUACUUCUUUUAUAGGGGGCGAAAAAAGGGAAUUCUUUCUCACUUGACAGUACCCUAUGAAUAAGCACCGGCUAACUCCGUGCCAGCCGCCGCGGUAA
rnacentral:rRNA from 1 species